rnacentral:misc_RNA from 1 species
GAUGAAGAACGUAGCGAAAUGCGAUAGGUAAUGUGAAUUGCAGAAUUCAGUGAAUCAUCGAAUCUUUGAACGCACCUUGCACCCUUUGGUAUUCCGAAGGGUAUGCUCGUUUGAGUGUCAUUGUACUCUCACACUUCUAAUUCCUUUCGGGAUUGGGAGCGGUGGACUUGGGUGUUGCUGCUUUAGUUGUGGCUCACCUCAAAUAAGUUAGUGCAACUCUUGGUUGGACAUAGUACGGCGUGAUAAGUGUCUUCGCCGGCGCCUCUGUAAGGAGGGUGGCCGAUCGGGAGCUCUGUGCUUCAAACCGUCUUCGGACAAUCUUUGACAACUUGACCUCAAAUCGAGUAGGACUACCCGCUGAACUUAAGCAUAUCAAUAAGCGGAGGA